rnacentral:lncRNA from 1 species
UAGCGAAUCCAAGAGCACUGAAGUAUUAAAGAGGCUGUGAAUACUUAAUUAAGGCUAUGUUACCAUCCUACCUUUGCCUGAAUUCACUUAACGCUUUGGAGCUCUGCUCUGAAAACGCACAAUUUGUCUGAUGGCGGGGUCGGAGGAGUAGCAGGUGAGAAGCCAUCCUCUCUUGAAUGGGGGCUCCCACUGUACAUCUGGCACCCACUUCACAGGUGAGCCUUUCCGCUCCUAAAUGAUGACUGAUUCUGGGGGAUGUCAACACCAGCACUGCUGAGCUGUGUGACCUUGAGCAAGACAGUUAGCCUCUCUGAACCUCAGUGUCCUUCUCUGUAGGCUGGAGAUUGAUAUACCUUCAUUAUCGGGGUAUGAGAGUGUUAUAGGGUGGGAUGGUGGAACACGCUGACUGGUCUGGGCUAUUCAAGAUCCAUGAACUGGAAGAUGCUUUCUUAUAACUCAGAGAAAAGAGAUGAAAAUGAAUCAAAGAACAGGAAGGAGACAAGCUCAGGACACCAAAACACAGGCAAGAAAACAAACAAACAAACAGAACAUAUUUCCUGAAAAAGGCUAUGUCUUUCUGUUUGAAUGACAAUGCAUAGGACUGACUGAACUCCUCAUUUUGAGUCACCCUAAGAAGGAUGUGUGGAAGACUUGACUGGAGGAUCAAAAUGUGUCGGGGGAAGGUGUACAAGGAGGAGUAAGGACACAGAUGUCCUGACUUCACACAGUGGGGGAUUAGAAGCCACCAUCAAACACAGAUGAAACAGGAAUAAAAGUAGUAGUACAUUACUUAAGCUUUAAAAGGAAUAGACAGAUAAAUCAAUGGAACAGUACGAGGAGAGCUGAAGCAGGCCCAUGUAAAUAUGAAUUUCAUAUAAGAUAAAUGUGGCAUUUCAAAUCAGUGGGGAAAAGAUGAGGAAUUCAGUAAGUCAAAUUAGGUCAAGGGUAAGACUCCUGGGAAUUUGGAAGC